CGCGCAGCUGCCGCCCCGGCCGGCCGGCCCGGAGACCGCGCGCGGGGAUAGCCUGGGGCGGGGCCGUGCUUCGCGGCCGGCGGGGAUCGCCCUCGCAGGGCCGGCACGCGCCGUGUGCAGGCGGAUGUGAGCAGCAUCUCGAUCGGCGGGCGAGGAAGCGGGCCAGGUUGUUACUACUGCAGAGCGCGGGAGCCGGCGGGCGGGAGGAGACCGCAGCUGCCGGCCGGCCGCGCGCGGGAAGAGCGGACCCGGACUUCGGGACCCGGCCGUCCCGCCUGCGCCCCCUCCGCGAGCGCAGGCCCCACCACGCCCGGAGCGUCCCCGGGUAAGAGCAGCGCCGGGCGGGGACACCCUGCGGGGCAGCCCCUAGUCCGAACGGGGCGGCCCCCGAGGGCCAGGGGCGCGGGCGGAUGCGGGGUCGCCAAACUGGGACGCUCCGACUUCUGGGCUCGGCGCUCACGGCCGGAUAAACUAAGUGCAGGACGGAGCCCGCGGUGGGGGACGGGGCUCCGGAGAUCCACUUGCGUCGGGAUUAUCCAGUUAGUCCCGGGGGAGGUGCCUGGACGAUCCGGAAGCCCCUCGCCCCGUUUCUCCUCGCGGGGAGCCCGGACGGGGAGAAGGCGACGGAGGCCGCGGUGCAUCGGCGCUGGCACCGGGGGCGAGCGGGGAAGCCGAGGCGCCCGCCGCGGAGAACGCGGGAAGGGGCUCGGAGGAGGGCCGAUGGCGCGGCUUGCGUUGCAAAGUGGGUGCGGGGCGCGCGGGACCCCCCGCUGCCGCCGCAGUGAGGAUGAACGGAAGGGCCCCGCGCGGCGCUCGCGAGCCCCCUGGCGCACAGUGGGGUGCGCUGGGGACAUCGGCGGUGCACGGAGCUCGCUUCCCCUGCGCGCCUCCACCCUGCCGCAGCCGUCUGGGGCUGGGAUGGGCCGCGGCAUCUUCCGCCCCUUCCUCUCUCUGAAACUUUUUCAUACUCCAGCAAGCGCCGCGGCUUGGGGCAUUGUUGGAAGCAUGGUCCCAAGGAUUCUGGCAAGCGGCGGAGCUUGGAGAGACCGGGGUGGGAGGUGGGGAGGGUCAACAGGGCAGUAGAGGCGCAUGUUCCACUCAGUUUGCUGUGUGACCUUGGACAAGCUGCUGCACAUCUCUGAACCUCAGGGUGAUGGAGGCGCGUGGGGCCCCAGUCGGGAAUGGGGACGAGGUGGGGGCAGGGUGGUCGAGGGAACAAGCCCACGGGCGCGCCUGCCCCGAGCCGUGGCGUUUAGGAAUUUGCUGCCUUUGAUCGCUGGCCUCUGCCAGGAGCUCAGCGGUCACUUCCUCGGCAGGAGGGUGGCAGAGCGGCGCUGUGCGCCCCGCGUUCCAGGGGGAGUCAGGAAGCUUCCAUUCCGACCCGGGCUAUGACCUUGGUCAGCUCACUUACCCCUUUGGGCCCCAGUAUCUUCAUCUGGAAAGUAGGGGUUUGGAACUCACGAAUCCGAAGUCUCUCCCAGGCCUGACGCCUCUGGCCCCUGCAUGCAGGUGAGGCGGCCGAACGGCUGGGGUGGCUGCAGCCUCUCCAGCAGCCUUCCCUCUGUGACCUAGCCUCAGAGAAACUGCGGCUCCCCUCCCCCAAAAAGGGUGACAGGGCGGGGAGACCCUCAGCCGCUGGUCCAGCCACCCUUCCCACUUUCAGAAUCUCCAGCCCUGGCAAGAACAGCUGGCUUUCCAGCUUGGUGCGUCCUGGCAGGAGCGGAGCCUUUCCUGGGGAAAGGUCCCCGGUGCCGGAUAGGAGGCCCCGGGGUUAAAGGGGGAAUGUCAAGGGCCUCCCAAGGUCAUGCUGUCCAGCUGCCUCUAGGCUGGGCCCCAUCCACCUGGGACAAGGGGGAUCUGGAGGGAUGUUCCGUCUCGGCCACAACAGCCAUAGCAGCCCCUGCGCACCUCACCGCGCUUGCCACAGGCAAGUCUGGUCUCACUCCUUCUCCGGGUGGCUCUGGCUGUGUCUUCAGUUGAGAUGCAACAAUAGCUUCUCACCAGGCUUCGGGUGUUGUGGGAAGAGUCCUGGUUAGGAUAAGAGGCCUGAGUUUAAUUCCAGGCUCUGCCUCCAAUUUGUGUGACCUUGCCUGACCUUGGGCAGGCCCCUGUCUUGCUUUGCUCAGCUGUCCGGGGAGAGUGUUGGACCAGAUACCCUCCCAGGGUGCGUCCAAGCCUGCAGGACUGUGGCUGAGGCUCGGGGCUGACGUCUGAGUAUUGGAAAAGGGGCUUGGUGGGGUGACGUGGCAGGCGGUGUCUAGGAAUUCCCAGUGCACCCCCGUUC
ensembl:lncRNA